CCGCACGCAGGAACACCAUCCGAUCCUGCUAUCUCGUCCGCACGCAACACCGAUCUGUCUGAUCCCGCUCGCUCCGCCGCUCCACAUCGCUCUUGAUUCCGCCUCCACCCAUGCGCCACCUCUCGACCUCCUAACCCUAAUCCUCUCCCUCACUCUCAUUUCCUGCCGCCCCCGACCUCCACCUCCACCCAUGCGCCGCCUCCCUACUGCCUCCUACCGCGGCUUCCGACCGUGGCCUCCGACGAGCUCCUCUGCCGCUUGUCCUCUCUCCACCUCCCCUCUCCGUCCGUCGCGCUUCUUCUUCGUUGUCGCUGGCCACAGAUCCGCGCUCCCCCGCCUCCACCGCCACCCCACCCAGCUCCGAGACACCACUGGAGCCGUCUCCCUUGCGAAUCGCUCCCUCGCUAACCGCUAUGAAUCUCGACGCCCCCGCCCGCCUGCCCUGCCCAACCGUCUAUCCACCGCCACCACCGCCGGGCCGGCAGCCUCCCCGAGCCUCCCUCUAAGCCAAUGCGCCGUCACCAACCCGAGCGGCCUCCGCCACCGCCACCGCCUCCGUCCUUCGGCGCCACGGCUCAGCCGACCUCCCCUUUCUCCUCCACCACCACCACCAGCUCCGUUGCCAUGGUCGCCGCCAACUUGGACGAGCUGCUCCUCAUGGCCCUGCCGCCAUUGGCGUCGGAGCCACGGAGCUUCCCAUAUGUGGUGAAGCAGCAGUGUUGGGAGAAGGCGGAGCGAGUGCCCGGGCGCGACCCAGAGAGGUGGCGCCGUGACGCGCUCGACAAAGUCGUCUUCCGCAAGCUCGUCGGAUGCCCAUGCAGCCUUUGCCACGACUACGACCACAUCAUCCCCUACUCCAAGGAAGCAUUUUGAGUGGAUGGAGCUAGAGCUGGAGCUGCGAGAUAGUAUUGCUAGCAGGAAUAAUUCGAAGGCAAAUUUCCAAUGGUAAUCCAUGGUUGCAGGUUUAACAUGCAGCUUCGUGCCUAUUUUCAAAUUUUCAUCUGUUGAUACAGACUCCCAUAGAGUUUUCUAAUAAAGGUAGGAUUUGUUAAAUUCACAUAGCAUACCCAAUUUGUAAGUCUUCUUCUUUCUUCUUUUUCUUAACAGAGAUAACACCAUUUUUGGUGCCAGGCAAUUAAUGCAAGUUCUUAACAGAUAUGUGUGUAUUAGCAUCCAGGGUGUAUAAAUGAGCUGCUUUUUAUAUGCGCAGCAAACAACAGUGGUAGUCAUAUAUUUGUGUGUGAAUACUAAAAGAUUUUUCUCUCCUUUUUAUUUUAUUUGGCAAAGAAAUAUUAUUUUCUCAUUGGCGCUGUUGACAAGGGUGUUAUUCAUGUGUCUAGAAGUAGCCUUUGAGGGAUGGUGUAAAAGAGGCAUUUCUGUAUAUUUCAUAGUUUCGUCUUUCCUUUUGUGUGAAUAUCAAACACAUGUCUCAGAUUAAUUGGGUCUACAAUUUUGCAUAGAUGAGUGCGAUGUCUGCUGUCCACAAGUCUCAGGUUUGUCGCACGAAAAAGGGCUGGAAUCACUAUAGGAUGCAGUUGUGUACAAAUAUUUAACCAUUCUCCAUAGACAGCUCUUUUUAUGUUUCGAUCCAAAUACAAGUGUCUUUGUCCUGAAAUUUUCAGGGGCUCACAGCUGUCUGUUCCGGUUGCUGGGACUUUCUCAUCUGUCCAGCCAGUGCAACAUUGGUAUGCUAUCAUCGCCGCCAUGCGAGCUCCCAGUAUGUACAUGAAUUGCUGACUCUCUCAUCUUUCUCUGAAGAACUUGCCCGUAAUCGGUAUCUGAAUGUUGAGAUCCAUCUGUGCACAAUUUGCAUUAGUAAGGUCUAUUUCAUUCUUUCUGUUCUCUUUACUGUAACAAGAAGUUGCAUUUACUGCAUUGAUAAAUUUGCAUCUUGCAAACUUUACAGACACAGGAGUUCUGAGUUUUUUUGGUCCAGUACAGAGAUCUAAUUGGCCCUUAAGCAAAUGUAUGAAGCUAUGCAUUUUCUGAAAAUUUGCGUUUGCUCUAACACCUGAAAUGAACAUUUCCGAGACAAAUUUGCCAUCUGCAUUUUGUGCAGGAACUGAGGUGGCGCAUUUAGUUUGUGGAUGAUGCCACACUAUCCUGGUGUAUAAUGGCACGAAAAGUGUACAUCCUUUCUUGAUGCCAUACUUAUAAGUUAUAACAAGCUACAAACAAACAAGCUAUUACUCCUCAUCCUGAGUUGCAAUAAUUAUAUUGUGUGGCUUUGAUUCCUGUAUGCGAAAUCUUCCGUCUGAACAUAAUAUGUUACAUGAUUGUGAGCUCGAGAAAUCUGCCAGUAACAUUUUUCCAGUUCAUAUAUUAUUUCAUGUGGCGAUCUGAGUGGAACAUUUAUUUGCAUGAUCCACAAUUUAUUUCAUUUGGGAGAAAGGAACUGGACCACUCACUGGUGCAGACCAGAAUUGUAUAUACAGGGGCAUUUCAUAAUAUAUGUUGUCAUUUUGAAGACAUGUGGUUUCUUGUUAAUUUAAAAUUGCAGGGAGCUUUUACUCCCACUCCUAGAUUUAUUCCCAUGACUUCCAAUGGUUCAGGAAGUCAGAACAGCUCCUUACUUUGCUAGGUGGUUAUAGUUAUAUUAGAAUCCAUUCCUGCAUUUGCUAGGAAUUACUCUGAUAAUGAAAGUUCUCUUUUCUGUAUCAAAACAGACUAGAAGGGACUGCAAGCGAAGGAGACCCUUCUGCUAACAGAAAGGCAACAAAGUGAAGCAGCUAGCACUGCACAAUCUCAAGCGAGAAAUGAAGCAUUAGCAAGCAAGCUUGAAGACGCUGUGAAACAAAAUGAUCUCCUCUGUGAAACUGUUAAAAGGUUUGUUGUUCCAGAAACUACUGUAAGCAGCACUCCGAUGUGCUGUUUUGGGGACCCAAAUGACUUUAUUUAGUGGUAACAUUUUGUGAGAUAGCAUGAUUCGAUUAUCAUCAAAAUAGAAUUGCCCCCCUGAGGAUCUCUGCAAUUUGGCUGUUUUAAGGGGCCGGGACCAAUCACACUGUCUUUCAUUGCUUAUAGCAUUUUUUCGCUCCAUAUUAUAAGAUUUACAG